GCUGAAGCAACACUUUGGUUUAUUGUGUUUCUCCAUUUCAUUCGUGGCCUACUUGGAUGUGUCUAGCUCUAAAUGAUUCAUUUAAUUAAACAACAACUACAAACAUGCAACGUUGUUAUAGAGGACGCACGAAUUAGGUAGGGAAAUACACGCGGAAACUAUAGCGCCACUGUAGCACUUGCAAAACCAACAGUAAGAUGUGCAUGCUGAGCUCCAACUAAGGCAUUUUUCUAACACAUUUGAGGGGAACUAUACAAGUAUGCUGUGAAGCUGUUGUCGCCUCUUGUCUUUAUCGGUGUUACAUUUUUCCCGAGGAGUCGUGAAAGGGAAGGAUGCAGCUUUUUAGUUCGUUUUGCAGUUUGUCUAUUGGAAUAAGACAUGAUGCCCUGGAAACACAUAUGUAUGUGUAAAUAACGACGAUGAGAAUAUAACAUUUGAUAGCACACUAUGGAUACGUAUCUGGCUGUAAAGGUGAAAGGAUGAGCCAAUGAGGCAGAAUAGCGCUUCAUCACUGGCCAGGGAGAGAAGCCACCUUGCAGCACUCAUCCUAGGGAGGAUAAAGGGAGACUUGAUUGUUUGUUGCCAUCAGGGAGACGACGACAAGGCUGGCUCUUUGUUCAGAGCUCAAGGUGUGAACUGACAGACCGUGAAUGCUUGGCCUUGGGAGUGUAUAGUGGACCCUAUGGCAGAAAACCACACAAUAUAGGGUACAAGUGCUUUUCUGAUUCAGAGAGGUUGGGAUAAAUGCGGAAGACACACUUCAGUUGAAUACAUUCAGUUGGACAACUGACUAGGUAUCCC